rnacentral:misc_RNA from 1 species
AAACGGAAGGUUUUCUAAAGGUAAGGUUUUUAGAUAUUUUAAAAUCUCCAAUUUGGUGGAUUAAAGAAACCUUCAUACGGUAAGUCCAAUGCAUACACAUACAGGAAUCAAGUGAAGUAACGAACACAUCAUCAAGUAAAAGACUUGGCCAUAAAAUCAACUGGCGUAAGUGAUAAAAAAUAAUGCCUAAUGAAAUCAUCAGCAACAUCAACAUGCAUACACAGCAAAGGAUAUAAGAAACAUACUUUUAAUACACAACGAAGCCAAGCGUAUUCCUCGGCCACAAAAUCCACAAGUCCAAGUACACAAACUUGCCAACAACAUUAUUCUGCUAAAAAAGAAAUGCCAAAAUGGCAAUCAACGAUGAUGCAAAGUACUUAGUCAGGACAUGUGCAGAGAACAAUAAUGUCAGCUUAAACAAUGCAGUCAAAUCAACGGAAGAAUUGUUUGCCCCAUAUGACCAAAAGUCAUUUGAUGGUUAGCUAUUGAAUAUCAAUAAUGCCAUUACAAGCAUGAAGCUUUUUGUGAAAUUAGCUUCUUAUGCAUUGAUCACAGCCUUUAGCAUGAAUGUAUUGCCAAAGUUCAAAUAGUUCUUAAGCACAAAGGGCAAAAAGACUUCAUUUGCUCAAAAUCUCACAAUCAAAUGGCACCUGGUCCACCUCUAAAAUAUAUACUAGCAUUGGCAAGAUACAAACAGCACAUUGUUUUUACGCAUUAAAAAAUCGCUACUUCAUAUAAUGAAGAGCUAAAGCAAUAACAAAAUCAAUGAUUUCCUAGCCAUCCCAAACUAACAGCCAACAACAAGAAAUGAGCGAUGUUCAAGUUAGACAUCACAUUACUUAAGCCUUUCUCAUUAGUAUAGAAAAUCUUGAACAACUUACAUCCUCAAUUACAGCCUAGAUUACGCAAAUAAAGCUUAAAAGGAAAGUUCCGAUAAACCAAUUCAAGAAAACGCAUUUAACAUAAAGAUUUCUCCAAAAUAUAUACAAGGUUUUAGCCGUGACACGCAUUAUGAUAGUAACAUCACAUAAUGUUGCUUAGAAUACUAAGAAUACCGUAACCCCACAAGCAAUAUUACGAAGUACAAGUCAAAGACAAAAGCAGAGCACAAGCAUAUGCCUACUCUUGAGCUUGACAAUCAUAUCUCCUAUCACAGUAUAUGGGUAAGUCCUCGAGAACAACAUAAAGUAUAACCCUUAAAGCUCAUACGUGAAAAUAAACGAAGUACUACUCCUUGCAUGCUUGUGACACAAAAUACACCUAGUGUAAUGCUAGGCACAAAAUCAAUAUCAAAAAGAAGACAUGUCAAAGAUAUUCAUCACCUACUAAAAUUUGGAGUCUCACUAUGCAAACAUGAAUUUGCUUUGUCUCAAUUAGCAUACUCUACUCACAACAAAACACUAUCAAGUCUUUGGGCAACAUCAAUGGUCGCCUAGUUAGCAAAGGAGUAUCCACUCAUCAAAAGUAGAAAUUGACACACCAAAAUUUGAAGUCCCACAAUGCGAAAAUGAGUAUGCUAAUUGAGACAAAACGAC